rnacentral:rRNA from 1 species
ACUAACCUACGGGAGGCAGCAGUAGGGAAUCUUCCACAAUGGGCGCAAGCCUGAUGGAGCAACACCGCGUGAGUGAAGAAGGGUUUCGGCUCGUAAAGCUCUGUUGUUGGAGAAGAACGUGCGUGAGAGUAACUGUUCACGCAGUGACGGUAUCCAACCAGAAAGUCACGGCUAACUACGUGCCAGCAGCCGCGGUAAUACAUAGGGAGCAAGCGUUAUCCGGAAUUAUUGGGUGUAAAGGGUGCGU